AGCCUUCGGUUGCCCGAGUUGUAAUCUAGAGAAGUGUUUUCCGUGCCGGCCCAUGUACAAGUCCCUUGGAACAGGGCGUCAUAGAGGGUGAGAAUCCCGUCCUUGACAUGGACCCCCGGUGCUUUGUGAUACACUUUCAACGAGUCGAGUUGUUUGGGAAUGCAGCUCAAAAUGGGUGGUGAAUUCCAUCUAAAGCUAAAUAUUGGCGAGAGACCGAUAGCGAACAAGUACCGUGAGGGAAAGAUGAAAAGCACUUUGGAAAGAGAGUUAAACAGUACGUGAAAUUGUUGAAAGGGAAACGAUUGAAGUCAGUCAUGCUCUUUGGUUUAAGCCGUUCUGCGGUGUAUAUCAUUGAGUGGGGUCAACAUCAGUUUUGAUCGAUGGAUAAAGGCACUAGGAA
rnacentral:rRNA from 1 species